CCUACGGGUGGCUGCAGUGGGGAAUAUUGGUCAAUGGGCGAAAGCCUGAUCCAGCCAUGCCGCGUGUGUGAAGAAGGCCUUCGGGUUGUAAAGCACUUUCAGUGGGGAAGAAAGCCUUGGGGCUAAUACCCUCGAGGAAGGACAUCACCCACAGAAGAAGCACCGGCUAACUCCGUGCCAGCAGCCGCGGUAAUACGGAGGGUGCGAGCGUUAAUCGGAAUUACUGGGCGUAAAGCGCGCGUAGGCGGUCUGAUAAGCCGGUUGUGAAAGCCCCGGGCUCAACCUGGGAACGGCAUCCGGAACUGUCAGGCUAGAGUGCAGGAGAGGAAGGUAGAAUUCCCGGUGUAGCGGUGAAAUGCGUAGAGAUCGGGAGGAAUACCAGUGGCGAAGGCGGCCUUCUGGACUGACACUGACGCUGAGGUGCGAAAGCGUGGGUAGCAAACAGGAUUAGAUACCCUGGUAGUC
rnacentral:rRNA from 1 species